rnacentral:rRNA from 1 species
UGGGUGAGUAACACGUGGGGAACCUGCCCCAUAGUCUGGGAUACCACUUGGAAACAGGUGCUAAUACCGGAUAAGAAAGCAGAUCGCAUGAUCAGCUUUUAAAAGGCGGCGUAAGCUGUCGCUAUGGGAUGGCCCCGCGGUGCAUUAGCUAGUUGGUAAGGUAAAGGCUUACCAAGGCGAUGAUGCAUAGCCGAGUUGAGAGACUGAUUGGCCACAUUGGGACUGAGACACGGCCCAAACUCCUACGGGAGGCAGCAGUAGGGAAUCUUCCACAAUGGACGCAAGUCUGAUGGAGCAACGCCGCGUGAGUGAAGAAGGUUUUCGGAUCGUAAAGCUCUGUUGUUGGUGAAGAAGGAUAGAGGUAGUAACUGGCCUUUAUUUGACGGUAAUCAACCAGAAAGUCACGGCUAACUACGUGCCAGCAGCCGCGGUAAUACGUAGGUGGCAAGCGUUGUCCGGAUUUAUUGGGCGUAAAGCGAGCGCAGGCGGAAGAAUAAGUCUGAUGUGAAAGCCCUCGGCUUAACCGAGGAACUGCAUCGGAAACUGUUUUUCUUGAGUGCAGAAGAGGAGAGUGGAACUCCAUGUGUAGCGGUUGGAAUGCGUAGAUAUAUGGAAGAACACCAGUUGGCGAAGGCGGCUCUCUGGU